GACAGAGGUUGCAAACGUUGUUCGGAAUCACUGGGCAUAAAGCGCACGUAGGCGGCUGACUAAGUCGGAUGUGAAAUCCCUCGGCUUAACCGGGGAACUGCGUCCGAUACUGGUCGGCUUGAGAACGGUAGGGGUGAGCGGAACUCCAGGUGGAGCGGUGAAAUGCGUAGAUAUCUGGAGGAACACCGGUGGCGAAAGCGGCUCACUGGACCGUCACUGACGCUGAGGUGCGAAAGCUAGGGUAGCAAACGGG
rnacentral:rRNA from 1 species